AUAAGAGAUCAUAUUAAAGAAAAACAACCACAACAACAAAACUGGCUGGAGUUUCAGUGAUGCUGAGUUGGGAACGACUUCCAUCCAUUCUAUAUGAUUGGUAAGACAAGGAGCAGAUAAGAAUCCUGAGGAAGACUCUAUAACCAGGCCUUCUGACACACCUGGUCCUGAUGAUUUAUGGUCUACAUCAGCUAGCCAAGACUUUGAUUUUGGUACCAAG